CACGUUAAACAUGCAUUAUUGGAAUAGAAUAAUAACUGAUAUAUACGCUGGUUUUACUCACCAUGUUUGCACGAUAGCUUGAGCUGCUUUCUCUCUGUCUCUCUCUCUCUCGCUCUCACACACUCUCUCCCACUUCUCGCUCUACCCGGAGGUCUCUCCUAUUUAAAUCCUUAGUUGUUCACGACACUUGUAACCGCCUGACGGCAGAUUGAACAUCCGGGUACUUUUAUUUUUUGAUAGUUGUGUGUCCAAUUUUUAAAAAAAGUUAUCCCUUUCUCUCCACGUCUCACCCUCUCUCUUUCUUUCUCUUUAUCUCUCUCUGUACCUCUCUGUCUCUCUCUCUCCCACUUCUCACUCCUAUGUCCUCAGUUAAUCACGACACUUGUAACAGUCUGACGGCAGAUUGAACAUCCGGGUACGAUUAUUUAUAGUUGCGUAGUCCAAUUUAAAAAAAAAUAAAAUAAAAAAAAAAAAAGUUAUCCCGUUGAUGGUAACAUAAGAAACAUUGCUAUCGAUACUAUUACCAUUACCUACGCUCUACAAACAUUCUUCGAUAAUAUAUGGCUGUUUAACGAGCUAGCUGGUUAGCUUGCUGCUACAUAGAUUACUAACAAGCUAGCUGGUUAGCUUAGCCCAUGAAGCGCCGCUUGCUGUUGCCUAGCGACCUGAUACCAGACGUUAGCUUAGCAGCUCGUAACAGGCAGAUGCACAAGACCAGCACGUGCAGUCAGACGAAAUUAAACGUUUAUUUAAGUUGCAAAGCGGGUUAAGUUUGGAUUAAGUUCGCGUUCACGUGUCGUCCUAAUCAAACGAAGAAGCUUGUUUUUAUUUUGCAGUUUUUUUGUCACUGAAAUAAUCAAGACCCCGAGGUGAUCGCCGGAUUUAAACUGACCUCACAUCUGUUGCAACAUAAACUCCACUGAUACUCGGGUUUCACUCCUCGUCAGUCAGAUGGCGUUCUGCCUGGCUGAGCUGCACUUGUGGUCCACCAAGAGCUCACUCCAAGUCAAAGAUACAGAUAUUGGCACCUAUCAGUACUACGAUAAAGGAGAGCCAGGUAAAUAGUGUUUGUAUUGGAUGUCUGUUUGUGUUUAAGAUAAGUUUGUCUUUUAUUUGUUUUUUUGGGGACGUAUGUGAUUUCCUUAUAUAUGAAGAAGGGCUUUACUCGGCCUCCCACGCAAACACACGGACACACAAACCAUCGGUCCUGAGUAUUUCAGGGUCUCACCACACUUAGAGGCUAUUAGUAUGUAGGAUUUACACCCUAAAGCCGUAUGCACAUACCACACACACACACACACACACACACACAGGUUAUUAGGCCUCCGUGGUUCUAUCUCUUACUCUGACGGUGUUCCUGUUGACCCGGGGUCCUGACACACAGCGAUAGGGGAAACUAAACUGU